rnacentral:tRNA from 1 species
GCUUCUGUGAGCCUGCCUGGCGGUAGGAAUAGACUUCAAAUCUAUUGCGGCAGAGAUGCCGAGUUGUUCGAUUCAACCAUGGGAGC